rnacentral:rRNA from 1 species
UGGAGGCAGCAGUGGGGAAUAUUGCUCAAUGGCCGAAAGGCUGAAGCAGCAACGCCGUGUGAAGGAUGAAGGGAUUUUUCUUGUAAACUUCUGUAAGAAGGGAAAAACAUUCCGGUUUACCGGAGUUGAUUGUACCUUCAAAGUAAGCCCCGGCUAACUACGUGCCAGCAGCCGCGGUAAUACGUAGGGGGCAAGCGUUGUCCGGAUUUACUGGGUGUAAAGGGUGCUCAGGCGGAUUUGUAAGUCAGAGGUGAAACUCCGAAGCUUAACUUCGGAACUGCCUUUGAUACUGCAGGUCUAGAGUUUGAGAGAGGGUAAUGGAAUAUGUGGUGUAGCAGUGAAAUGCGUAGAUAUCAGAUAGAACACCAAUGGCGAAGGCAGUUACCUGGCUCAAUACUGACGCUAAAGCACGAAAGUGUGGGGAGCAAACAGGAUUAGAUACCCCGGUAGC